AAUACAUUUGCAAAAAUGUCUAAAAACCAGUUUUCGCUUCGUCAUUAUGGGGUAUUGUGUGUAGAUGGCUGAGGAACACACUGUUACUAAAGGACCUAGCGAGGCGUUGCUAAGGAACACACUGUUACUAAAGGACCUAGCGAGGCGUUGCUAAGGAACACACUGUUACUAAAGGACCUAGCGAGGCGUUGCUGAGGAACACACUGUUACUAAAGGACCUAGCGAGGCGUUGCUAAGGAACACACUGUUACUUAAUCCUUUAAGAACUGAGCCUUAUGAAGGACAUGCUUUUCUGCAGUAUAUCGUCACACACAGGACGGACUGAGUUAUAACGUUACUGUAGAUUAUGAGAUUGAGUUAUAACGUUACUGUAGAUUAUGAGAUUGAGUUAUAACGUUACUGUAGAUUAUGAGAUUGAGUUAUAACGUUACUGUAGAUUAUGAGAUUGAGUUAUAACGUUACUGUAGAUUAUGAGAUUGAGUUAACGUUACUGUAGAUUAUGAGAUUGACUGAGUUAUAACGUUACUGUAGAUUAUGAGAUUGACUGAGUUAUAACGUUACUGUAGAUUAUGAGAUUGACUGAGUUAUAACGUUACUGUAGAUUAUGAGAUUGACUGAGUUAUAACGUUACUGUAGAUUAUGAGAUUGACUGAGUUAUAACGUUACUGUAGAUUAUGAGAUUGACUGAGUUAUAACGUUACUGUAGAUUAUGAGAUUGACUGAGUUAUAACGUUACUGUAGAUUAUGAGAUUGACUGAGUUAUAACGUUACUGUAGAUUAUGAGAUUGACUGAGUUAUAACGUUACCGUAGAUUGAGAUUGACUGAGUUAUAACGUUACUGUAGAUUGAGACUGACUGAGUUAUAACGUUACUGUAGAUUGAGACUGACUGAGUUAUAACGUUACUGUAGAUUAUGAGACUGACUGAGUUAUAACGUUACUGUAGAUUAUGAGAUUGAGUUAUAACGUUACUGUAGAUUAUGAGAUUGACUGAGUUAUAACGUUACUGUAGAUUGAGACUGACUGAGUUAUAACGUUACUGUAGAUUAUGAGAUUGACUGAGUUAUAACAUUACUGUAGAUUGAGACUGACUGAGUUAUAACGUUACUGUAGAUUAUGAGAUUGACUGAGUUAUGACAUUACUGUAGAUUAUGAGAUUGACUGAGUUAUAACGUUACUGUAGAUUGAGCACUGCUGAAUUGUCAUUGUUGUUGUUUUUAUUAUACAUUCCUGUUAAUCUAUUUAUAUUUUUUAUAUGGUUUUAAAGAUUUUUUUUUAUAUUUAGAAUUAAGAAUGAAUUAUGUUUUAUAUUGUUAACAAAGGAGAAUGUUUUUGCAGUAGAGUUGAAUAUUGGGCUGUUCCGUGGACUUCUCAUCAGAGCAUUGAGCUGUUCCGUGGACUUCUCCUCAGAACAUUGAGCUGUUCAGUGGACAGAACAUCAGAACAUUGAGCUGUUCCGUGGACAGAACAUCAAAGCAUUGAGCUGUUCCGUGGACUUAUCAUCAGAACAUUGAGCUGUUCCGUGGACAGAACAUCAGAGCAUUGAGCUGUUCCGUGGACUUCUCAUCAGAACAUUGAGCUGUUCCGUGGACAGAACAUCAGAACAUUGAGCUGUUCCGUGGACAGAACAUCAGAGCAUUGGGCUGUUCCAUGGACAGAACAUCAGAGCAUUGAGCUGUUCCGUGGACUUCUCAUCAGAACAUUGAGCUGUUCCGUGGACUUCUCAUCAGAACAUUGAGCUGUUCCGUGGACUUCUCAUCAGAACAUUGGGCUGUUCCGUGGACAGAACAUCAGAGCAUUGAGCUGUUCCGUGGACUUCUCAUCAGAGCAUUGAGCUGUUCCGUGGACUUCUCAUCAGAACAUUGAGCUGUUCCGUGGACUUCUCAUCAGAACAUUGAGCUGUUCCGUGGACAGAACAUCAGAACAUUGGGAUGUUCCAUGGAUAGAACAUCAGAACAUUGAGCUGUUCCGUGGACAGAACAUCAGAACAUUGAGCUGUUCUGUGGACAGAACAUCAGAACAUUGAGCUGUUCCGUGGACAGAACAUCAGAACAUUGAGCUGUUCCGUGGACAGAACAUCAGAACAUUGAGCUGUUCCGUGGACAGAACAUCAGAACAUUGAGCUGUUCCGUGGACAGAACAUCAGAACAUUGGGAUGUUGCAAAAGCAGGAUCAGUAAGUUAAGCCAGAUAAGAGUAAAAUAUAUCUCCUGAUUUACUGAUAUAUUUAGAAAGCUGAACUUGAAUAUGGUUGUUGGUUGUCAAGUCAGUUAUACCUUGAAGUUAUUACAAUGAUGCCAGUUUCAAGUCUCAUCUCAGGCUUAUCUCUUGAAAAGGUGACAUUAUUUUAGAAUGUUUGUUAGCUGGCUAACUGUGCAGCCACCAGACCUCCAUGUUUUAAUAAACGCUCCAAACCACCA